CAUAGAACACCGAUCAGUCGUCGUCGUCCGAAAUGGCAAGAGAUAAGAUAGAAGUACUUUUAAGCAGUUGGAUUGAAACACAGCAGUGUCGACUGGAAAAAAUGGUAAAAUAUAAUGGGAGAGUUAAAUUGGAGGGUUCUACAUUCUAUGCCUGUUUGACAGUUAAUAAAACGCACCUUAUAAUUGACCCGUACGAUAAGACAAAACACGUACGUGCUUUCAAUGAAUCU